GCCUGGGUGGCUUAGUCGGUUAAGUGUCUGACUUCAGCUCAGGUCAUGAUCUUGUGGUUGGUGAGUUCGAGCCCCACGUCGGGCU
rnacentral:tRNA from 1 species